GCUGGGCACAGUGGCACGUGCCUGUAGUCCCAGCUACUUGGGAGGCUGAGGUGGGAGGAUCGCUCAAGCCCAGGAGUUCUGGGCUGUAGUGCGCUAUGCCAAUUGAGUGUCUGCACUAAGUUCGGCAUCAAUAUGGUGACCUCCUGGGAGCGGGGGACCACCAGGUUGCCUAAGGAGGGGUGAACUGGCCCAGGUAGGAAACGGAGCAGGUCAAAACCCCUGUGCUGAUCAGCAGUGGGAUCAUGCCUGUGAAUAGCCACUGCACUCCAGCCUGGGCAACAUAGCGAGACCCCAUCUCU
rnacentral:SRP_RNA from 1 species